ACAUGCAAGUCGAGCGGUAGCAUUCUUAGCUUGCUAGAAGAUGACGAGCGGCGGACGGGUGGAGUAAAGACAUAGGAAUACUGGCCAACUAGAGGAGGAGUAGCCCGGACGAAAUACCGGACGUUAAUUAACCGCCAUACACUCUAUGAGGAAAAAGACAGGGGGAGUCUUCGGUACCGUUCGUCACUAUUGGUAUGAGCCUAUGUCGGAUUAGUUAGUUGGUGGGGUAAAGGGACCGUACCAACGGCAGCGAUCCGUACGCUGGUCGUUAGUAGGAGUGAGUCAGCCACAUCGGGACUGAGACACGGCCCGAACUCCUACGGGAGGCAGCAGUGGGGAAUAUUGCACAAUGGGCGCAAGCCUGAUGCAGCUAUGCCGCGUGUGUGAAGAAGGCCUUAGGGUUGUAAAGCACUUUCAGUAGUGAGGAAAAGUGUUGCGUUAAUAGCGCAAUGCUGUGACGUUAGCUACAGAAGAAGGACCGGCAAACUCCGUG
rnacentral:rRNA from 1 species